rnacentral:lncRNA from 1 species
CCACAUCCAUCCCUUCAAUUACAAGGGAAAAUCAAUUACGACACCAUCAUCAUGCUAUCCCAACAGUUCAUUCACAUUUACUUCUUUGUUCGCUUCGCUCCUCGUAUACGGAGUCAUAGUAGAAGGAGCCGAACAUCGCAGCCGUGCGGAGUGUCGCCUCGUUGUAGGAAGUGCGCAUCCUGCUACGCGUAUAAUGGCGGGAAGAGGGGCUUCAGUGACAACGCCUACGAAAAAUCAUAUUGGGCGAAGUUACGUACUCGAAAUGUCCUACACUUACCAUAUGUAAAAUAACCACUAGUAACAAAGGCAACUAACUAACCAUCGCCAUCCGUUACGACGCAACCCUUGAACUCUGCAUCGUUGAUUGCGGCCGCAUAUGAGGGCUCCAUAGCUCCUCUAUCUAAUGAAUAUGAAUCAUACAAAACUGCAUAGUAUUCCACAUUUGUAUUUCACAUAUAAUUAAAGCGCAGAAUACGAAAGGAAAAAAAAUUGGGUUAACUGCCUUGUACCGUUCAAAUUCGG